rnacentral:rRNA from 1 species
ACGGCUCAGUAACACGUGGAUAACCUGCCUUUGGGUCCGGCUUAACCCCGGGAAACUGGGGAUAAUUCCGGAUAACGCACAUAUGCUGGAAUGCUUUAUGCGUAAAAUGGAUUCGUCUGCCCAAGGAUGGGUCUGCGGCCUAUCAGGUAGUAGUGGGUGUAAUGUACCUACUAGCCUACAACGGGUACGGGUUGUGAGAGCAAGAGCCCGGAGAUGGAUUCUGAGACAUGAAUCCAGGCCCUACGGGGCGCAGCAGGCGCGAAAACUUUACAAUGCGGGAAACCGUGAUAAGGGGACACCGAGUGCCAGCAUCAUAUGCUGGCUGUCCAGGUGUGUAAAAUACACCUGUUAGCAAGGGCCGGGCAAGACCGGUGCCAGCCGCCGCGGUAACACCGGCGGCCCGAGUGGUGAUCGUGAUUAUUGGGUCUAAAGGGUCCGUAGCCGGUUUGGUCAGUCCUCCGGGAAAUCUGACGGCUUAACCGUUAGGCUUUCGGGGGAUACUGCCAGGCUUGGAACCGGGAGAGGUAAGAGGUACUACAGGGGUAGGAGUGAAAUCUUGUAAUCCCUGUGGGACCACCUGUGGCGAAGGCGUCUUACCAGAACGGGUUCGACGGUGAGGGACGAAAGCUGGGGGCACGAACCGGAUUAGAUACCCGGGUAGUCCCAGCCGUAAACGAUGCUCGCUAGGUGUCAGGCAUGGCGCGACCGUGUCUGGUGCCGCAGGGAAGCCGUGAAGCGAGCCACCUGGGAAGUACGGCCGCAAGGCUGAAACUUAAAGGAAUUGGCGGGGGAGCAC